rnacentral:rRNA from 1 species
UACGGGGGGGGUAAGCGUUGUUCGGAAUUACUGGGCGUAAAGGGCUCGUAGGCGGCCAACUAAGUCAUACGUGAAAUCCCUCAGCUUAACUGGGGAACUGCGUGUGAUACUGGAUGGCUUGGAUUUGGGAGAGGGAUGCGGAAUUCCAGGUGUAGCGGUGAAAUGCGUAGAUAUCUGGAGGAACACCGGUGGCGAAGGCGGCAUCCUGGACCAAUAUUGACGCUGAGGAGCGAAGACUAGGGGAGC